rnacentral:siRNA from 1 species
UAUGACUGGUAAACCAGCGGGUA